rnacentral:misc_RNA from 1 species
AACGCACCUUGCGCUCCUUGGUAUUCCGAGGAGCAUGCCUGUUUGAGUGUCAUGAAAUCUUCAACCUGCAAGCUUUUAAUCGGUUUGUAGGCUUGGAUUUGGAGGCUAUUGUCGGCCUUUAUCGGUCGGCUCCUCUUAAAUGUAUUAGCUUGGUUCCUUGCGGAUCGGCUUGUCGGUGUGAUAAUGUCUACGCCGCGACCGUGAAGUGUUUGGGCAAGCUUCUAACCGUCUCACUUUAGAGACAACCUUAUGACCUCUGACCUCAAAUCAGGUAGGACUACCCGCUGAACUUAA